rnacentral:lncRNA from 1 species
CUCAGACCGCAGCGUCGGCCGAGAGGACGCCGGGAUACUGGCCAGCUCCAAGUCGAAAGGAAGCGACGCAUGAGUUGUUUGGUGCGAAUUUUAAACGGAAGAACGCAGAAGAAUUCUCUUUAUGUUACCUUUAUUUAGCAACAAAUCAACUUGACUCAACUGAUACUUACUGAGUGCCUUUAAAGAUGAGUCUGACUUCUGGCUAACUUUACACAAAAAAUGUACUGUAAAUUCAUGCUGAGAUCUGGGCA